rnacentral:rRNA from 1 species
GUCAGCAGCCAUAUCACCCUGCAGCCCAAGACUGGUUGCCCACUGAAGCCAAGCAGGGUUGAGCCUGGUCAGUACCUGGAUGGGAGACCUCCUGGGAAAACUAGGUUGCUGCUGGAA